AGUCUUACAGCUAGCCCAACCCCCUAUGACAAAUAUUACACUAUAAAUAUAACCCAAAUUAUCUAAAGACAAUAAAGCAAAUCAUUUUCCCCUCCAAGUAUAGGAGAUAGAAAAG
rnacentral:rRNA from 1 species